UUUUAUCGUAAAGAGCGUUAGGGAUGGAAGCGAUAUCCUUUUGUGGUAUUCAGGACUUCUCGAAACACUAAAACCUCUGUCACAAAAGAUUUAGCGAACAGCCCGACCCAAA
rfam:Flavobacterium sp. ov086 genome assembly, contig: Ga0070134_140